CAGAGUCUCCUUCAUGUACAGGGAAGAGAUUGUACGUGAGAGACAGUCAGAUCCGCGUGUUAGAGCAGAUUCUCCUUCGUGUACAGGGAGGAGAUUGUAC
rnacentral:miRNA from 1 species